rnacentral:tRNA from 1 species
AUACACCUUAGUUUAAGAAAAACACUAUUUUUGUAAUAUAGAGUUAAUAUUCAUGUGUAUAC